rnacentral:rRNA from 1 species
GCAUAUCAAUAAGCGGAGGAAAAGAAACCAACAGGGAUUGCCCUAGUAACGGCGAGUGAAGCGGCAACAGCUCAAAUUUGAAAUCUGGCUCUUUCAGAGUCCGAGUUGUAAUUUGCAGAGGGCGCUUUGGCUUUGGCAGCGGUCCAAGUUCCUUGGAACAGGACGUCACAGAGGGUGAGAAUCCCGUACGUGGUCGCUAGCUAUUGCCGUGUAAAGCCCCUUCGACGAGUCGAGUUGUUUGGGAAUGCAGCUCUAAAUGGGAGGUAAAUUUCUUCUAAAGCUAAAUAUUGGCCAGAGACCGAUAGCGCACAAGUAGAGUGAUCGAAAGAUGAAAAGCACUUUGGAAAGAGAGUCAAACAGCACGUGAAAUUGUUGAAAGGGAAGCGCUUGCAGCCAGACUUGCUUGCAGUUGCUCAUCCGGGCUUUUGCCCGGUGCACUCUUCUGCAGGCAGGCCAGCAUCAGUUUGGGCGGUGGGAUAAAGGUCUCUGACACGUUCCUUCCUUCGGGUUGGCCAUAUAGGGGAGACGUCAUACCACCAGCCUGGACUGAGGUCCGCGCAUCUGCUAGGAUGCUGGCGUAAUGGCUGUAAGCGGCCCGUCUUGAAACACGGACCAAGGAGUCUAACAUCUAUGCGAGUGUUUGGGUGUCAAGCCCGAGCGCGUAAUGAAAGUGAACGGAGGUGGGAACCCGCAAGGGCGCACCAUCGACCGAUCCUGAAGUUUACGGAAGGAUUUGAGUAAGAGCAUGGCUGUUGGGACCCGAAAGAUGGUGAACUAUGCUUGAAUAGGGUGAAGCCAGAGGAAACUCUGGUGGAGGCUCGCAGCGGUUCUGACGUGCAAAUCGAUCGUCAAAUUUGGGCAUAGGGGCGAAAGACUAAUCGAACUAUCUAGUAGCUGGUUCCUGCCGAA